CAGCAACAGGAGCAUGGUCUGCUGGGCCGACAGAGGGAUAGGCGGCAGAUGAUCGUCCGGGCUGAGGCUGGUGGCCAUGCUGGGAAGAGAAGGGCGAAGGCGUGACACUCAGGCAAGAACAUUGCAG